UCAAGUUAUUAAGGGUGCAGGGCGGAUGCCUUGGCACUAGGAGCCGAUGAAGGACGUGAUAAGCUGCGAUAAGCUUCGGGGAGUUGCACGUAAACUUUGAUCCGAAGAUUUCCGAAUGAGGAAACUCACUUAGAGUAAUGUCUAAGUAUCAUUAAGUGAAUACAUAGCUUAAUGAGGGGAACUCAGGGAACUGAAACAUCUAAGUACCUGAAGGAAGAGAAAGAAAUUCGAUUCCGUAAGUAGCGGCGAGCGAACGCGGAUUAGCCCAAACCAAUAAAGUUUUCUUUAUUGGGGUUGCGGACAUAUCAUAACGAAGAGGUAUCGUAAUUGAAGAGGUUUGGAAAGACCCACCACAGAAGGUAAUAGUCCUGUAUGUUAAACGAGAAGACUUUAGAUAUGAUCCAGAGUACCACGGGACACGUGAAACCCUGUGGGAAGCAGGAGGGACCAUCCUCCAAGCCUAAAUACUACCUAGUGACCGAUAGCGUAUAGUACCGUGAGGGAAAGGUGAAAAGAACCCCGGGAGGGGAGUGAAAUAGAACCUGAAACCCUGCACUUACAAGCUGUGGAAGCACAUUUCUUGUGUGACCGCGUACUUUUUGUAGAACGGGCCAACGAGUUACGUUAAGUAGCAAGGUUAAGCACUUAAGGUGCGGAGCCGUAGCGAAAGCGAGUUUUAACUGAGCGUUCAGUUACUUGACGUAGACCCGAAACCGGGCGACCUACCCAUGAGCAGGAUGAAGCGAAAGUAAAAUUUCGUGGAGGUCCGAACCCACGAGCGUUGAAAAGCUCGGGGAUGACUUGUGGGUAGCGGUGAAAUUCCAAUCGAGCCCGGAGAUAGCUGGUUCUCCCCGAAAUAGCUUUAGGGCUAGCCUCAAGGUGAGAGAUACGGAGGUAGAGCACUGAAUGUCCUAGGGGGUAUUGCACCUACCGAAGACUAUCAAACUCCGAAUGCCGUCAUCUUAUACUUGGGAGUCAGACUGUGGGUGAUAAGAUUCAUAGUCGAAAGGGCAACAGCCCAGAUCGUCAGCUAAGGUCCCUAAAUGUAAGUUAAGUGGUAAAGGAUGUGGGAUUGCACAGACAACCAGGAUGUUGGCUUAGAAGCAGCCACUCAUUCAAAGAGUGCGUAAUAGCUCACUGGUCGAGUGAUCCUGCGCCGAAGAUUUCCGGGGCUAAAACUUACUACCGAAGCUACGGCAUCAGUAAUGAUGGGUAGGGGAGCUUCCCAUACGGGUUGAAGCAUGACCGUAAGGACAUGUGGACAGUAUGGGAGUGAGAAUGUUGGCAUGAGUAGCGAGAUGUGGGUGAGAAUCCCACAGGCCGUAAACCCAAGGUUUCCAGGGGAAGGUUCGUCCGCCCUGGGUUAGUCGGGACCUAAGCUGAGGCCGAAAGGCGUAGGUGAUGGACAACAGGUUGAUAUUCCUGUACUACCGAUAACCGUUUGAGAGAAGGGAUGACACAGUAGGAUAAGCUAAGCACACUGUUGGUUAUGUGUGCCCAAGCAUUGAGGCAGUCAAAGUAGGCAAAUCCGCUUUGAUAAUGCUGGGAUGUGAUGGGGAGCGAAAUUUAGUAGCGAAGUAGCUGAUUUCACACUGUCAAGAAAAGUCUCUAUCGAGGUUAAAGGUACCCGUACCGCAAACCGACACAGGUGGGUGAGGAGAGUAUCCUAAGGCCAGCGAGAGAACUGUUGUUAAGGAACUCGGCAAAAUGACCCCGUAACUUAGGGAUAAGGGGUGCCACCAUCAGGUGGCCGCAGAGAAUAGGCCCAAGCGACUGUUUACCAAAAACAUAGGUUUCUGCUAAGUCGCAAGACGAUGUAUAGGAGCUGACGCCUGCCCGGUGCUGGAAGGUUAAGGGGAUCUGUUAGAGCAAUCGAAGCAGUGAACUUAAGCCCCAGUAAACGGCGGCCGUAACUAUAACGGUCCUAAGGUAGCGAAAUUCCUUGUCGGGUAAGUUCCGACCCGCACGAAAGGCGUAACGAUUUGGGCACUGUCUCAACAACAGACUCGGUGAAAUUGUAAUUCCGGUGAAGAUGCCGGAUACCUGCGACAGGACGGAAAGACCCCAUGGAGCUUUACUGUAGCUUGACAUUGGGUCUUGGUACUACAUGUACAGGAUAGGUGGGAGGCUUUGAAACCAGGACGCCAGUUUUGGCGGAGCCAUCCUUGGGAUACCACCCUUGUAGUACUGGGACUCUAACCAUAGGCCAUGAAUCUGGUCUUGGGACACUGUCAGGUGGGCAGUUUGACUGGGGCGGUCGCCUCCCAAAAGGUAACGGAGGCGCUCAAAGGUUCUCUCAGUACGGUCGGAAAUCGUACGUAGAGUGUAAAGGCAAAAGAGAGCUUGAUUGCAAGACAUACAGGUCGAGCAAGGAUGAAAAUCGGACUUAGUGAUCCGGUGGUUCUGCGUGGAAGGGCCAUCGCUCAACGGAUAAAAGCUACCCUGGGGAUAACAGGCUUAUCUCCCCCAAGAGUCCACAUCGACGGGGAGGUUUGGCACCUCGAUGUCGGCUCAUCACAUCCUGGGGCUGUAGUAGGUCCCAAGGGUUGGGCUGUUCGCCCAUUAAAGUGGUACGCGAGCUGGGUUCAGAACGUCGUGAGACAGUUCGGUCCCUAUCCGUCGCAGGCGUAGGAAAUUUGAGAAGACCUGUCCUUAGUACGAGAGGACCGGGAUGGACGUACCUCUGGUGUACCAGUUGUCCUGCCAAGGGCAUGGCUGGGUAGCUAUGUACGGAAUGGAUAAGCGCUGAAAGCAUCUAAGCGCGAAGCCAACUUCAAGAUAAGAUUUCCCACCGCAAGGGUAAGACCCCAGAAAGACUAUCUGGUUGAUAGGUCGAAGGUGUAAGUGCAGCAAUGUAUUUAGCUUAUCGAUACUAAUAGGUCGAGGACUUGACCAA
rnacentral:rRNA from 1 species